GAUGAACGCUGACAGCAUGCUUAACACAUCAGCCACUGUUUGGUGUCGGACGGGUGAGUAACGCGUAAAGAACUUACCUCACAGAUCGGGCCCACAUUUGGAAACGAAUGCUAAUACCUAAUACUGUGAGAGAGCUUUGCGUCCCAUUGGCUAGUUGGAGAGGUAACGGCGAACCAAGGCGAUGAUGGGUAGCCGGCCUGAGAGGGUGAUCGGCCACAAGGGGACUGGGACACGGCGCUUAGUCAUACGGGAGGAAGCAGUGGAGAAUAUUGGACAAUAGACCACAGUCUGAUCCAGCAAUUCUGUGUGCAAGAGGAAGUUGUCGGAAUGUAAAGUGCGUUCAGUUAGGAAGCGGUACCAAAAGAAGAAGUGACGGCUAAAUACGUGCCAGCAGCCGCGGUAAUUC
rnacentral:rRNA from 1 species